CGAACGCUGACGGCGUGCUUAACACAUGCAAGUCGAACGGAAAGGCCCUGCUUUUGUGGGGUGCUCGAGUGGCGAACGGGUGAGUAACACGUGAGUAACCUGCCCUUGACUUUGGGAUAACUUCAGGAAACUGGGGCUAAUACCGGAUAGGAGCUCCUGCUGCAUGGUGGGGGUUGGAAAGUUUCGGCGGUUGGGGAUGGACUCGCGGCUUAUCAGCUUGUUGGUGGGGUAGUGGCUUACCAAGGCUUUGACGGGUAGCCGGCCUGAGAGGGUGACCGGCCACAUUGGGACUGAGAUACGGCCCAGACUCCUACGGGAGGCAGCAGUGGGGAAUAUUGCACAAUGGGCGGAAGCCUGAUGCAGCAACGCCGCGUGCGGGAUGACGGCCUUCGGGUUGUAAACCGCUUUCGCCUGUGACGAAGCGUGAGUGACGGUAAUGGGUAAAGAAGCACCGGCUAACUACGUG
rnacentral:rRNA from 1 species